CUGUGUCUUGCUUCAACAGUGUUUGGACGGAACAU
rfam:Dipodomys ordii contig_51692, whole genome shotgun sequence.